GCCGGGCACGGUGGCUUGUGCCUGUAAUCCAAGCGCCGGGGAGGCUGAGGCUGGUGGACGGCUUGAGCCUGGGGGUUCUGGGCUGCAGCGAGCUGUGCCGAGCGGGCGUCCGCGCUAAGUUCAGCAUCGAUAUGGUGGUCCCGGGGGAGCCGGGGGCCACCAGGUCGCCUAAGGAGGGGUGAACCGGCCCAGGUCGGAGACGGAGCAGGUCAAAGCUCC
rnacentral:SRP_RNA from 1 species